AUUUCGCAACAGUAAAUAUAUGCAAUAAAUGAUUAUGAUAAAUGAAUUUACUUAAAUUAAAAGUUCAAUUGGUUGUUUUUAUGAUUUUUACCAACCUUCAAUUUCUAUAUCGGUGAGUAGUGUGAUAUUUUUAUUAGGCUAGUAUAACUCACCUUUUCAUUAAGUAUUUCAGAUAAAAAAGACCAAGACUCAGAUCCUGAUCGACAAGAGGAUUGUGAAUAGUUCACCACCCAGACUCCUUUAAAAGGUAAUGAAGGUCGUUCUAAGAUGUU
rnacentral:lncRNA from 1 species